GCGGUCGAUGGAUCCUUACAAUAUGUAGGUUUGUUUGUUAAUUAUAAAUUUUUUUUUUGUUUGAUCGAAAUUCAAAUUUUGGUCGUGAAAGUCGGGUUCUGAUUGGUUGGUGGUAGGUUGGUCGAUUUAGGGACCCUCCUGUACCGCGGGUUUUCACUGUUUGGGUGAAAUUUUAUUACAGUUGGAUUCUCUAUGUAAAACUGUAUGGAAUAGGGUAUUUUUUGUGAUGAAAGGUUGGUUCGUUAAUUUUUAAUUUGUGUUUGUUUAGAAACGACGAGGGCGGCGGCUGUUGUUUGUCAUUUGUUUAUUAUGUUAUGUAUGAGGAAUUGGAGGACACCCUCCUACGUUCAGAAUAAUCGUUUUUUCGUUGAGGUUUAUAGUGCAAUCAAUUUUCCGGUUCAUAUUGCAGCCCAUAGGCUAAUUCUCCUUGUUAUUGAUUUCGUUAUAAAAAAGUUAUAAGCAUUUUAAGAAAGAGCUAAGAAGUUGUACAUUCGUGAAAACUACCCCUGUACAUUCACCAGCCCUUCGCGUAGCGACAUAAAGUUCCUACCCAAAGUUUGGGAACGCGCGAGAGAACCUUAUGGAAAAAAGCGUUUUUCUCGGCGUCCCCAAAAAUCCAAUUGUCGUCGGAACGUGACGAUUUUUUUUGGCCGUAGCCAUAGUGUGUAGGAAUAUGCUGAUUUUUUUUCAGAUUUUUGUAAUCAAGGGUAGGUUAACUUUUGACUUGAGCCCUAAGUUUGGGAACGCUCCAAAUAGCUAUAUGCAAAAUUAAGGUACUUUAAGGGGGGGAAACUAAAGAACGGGUUGAGCUAGGAAGACGCGGAAAACUCUGAAAUGAAGAUCUCCACAAGCUGAACAAGUCUUCAUUUUCAGAUUUUUUGCGUCCAUAAUUGAUGUAGUCAAUUAAAAACAGUUUUUUUUGCCCGUGUUUGUCCCUUUCUCUUCCCCCCCCCCAUUUCCACCCACGCCGGGUUGUCGCCCCCUCAUAAGCACGCGUUUUCUCUGUUUAACAGAGAAAACGGCAAGCGGGGUGGAAAUGGGGGGGGGGGGGAAGGGACACACACGGGCAGAAACCUACACAGUAUCUACAAAGUCUGGCAUUUUCAACAUACUGCGGAUUUCCACAAAUGCUCCUGUUUUUUCUCUAUCAACUACAAACUGCCGCGCUCUCAUAUCCUCUUUGCAGUUGAUAAAGUGACUGGCACCUUGCCAAUUUAUAGACUCUGAGUCGACAGCAAAUGACCGUCUUCCAGCAAAUGUAGGCCCAGCUGUCCCUGUCACUGUUGCAUCGGUUGGACCGAAAAGUGCGAAGGCGGUGGUCGGUGACCUGCAUUUAAUACUUUCAUCCCUAUCUACAACUAUUCAAGGAUUUCCUAUUCCUGUGAUGAGAGGAUGUGUAAAUUUGUUGCGUUCACUCAAUGACAGGCUGCGAGCAAAUGAGUCUACCAACUUAAUACUCAACGGUGAUGGCCUCCCAACUACAGAGCGCUUCUUUUACUGCUCCAGUCGCUGCAACUUUAACUGCUGGGCCAGUUAGUUCUCCAGUCGCUUCUACUUAAACUGCUGGACCGGUGAAUUCUCCAGUCGCAUCUACUUCCACUGCUGAGCCAGUGAAUUCUCCAGUCGCAUCUACUUCCACUGCUGGAAAUAUUAGUUCUCCAGUCGCUGAUGAAAUUACCCCUAGGACUGCUCUGAAACGAAAGCUCACGAACCUGUCAUUGCCAAAGAAAAAGCUGCGAACUGGAAGAGCAAAAAAAACCUCUGCUCUAGGUCAUUUUAAUUUUUGCCCGAAGAGUUUUACCGAAAAAUCAAAAGAGGAGCAGGCUUAUCUUAUAAUAUCCUGGCUGGCAGGACCCAAUCAUGCAGACUCAGCUAUAGAAAAUAAAAUAAAACAGAGGAUAUUGUGAACACAAUUCCAGAGCAGGUCAGUACAGCUAUACUGGAAGACGACGUUGAGAAAGUUAUCCCAAGCUGUAAGUCAUACUUUGACGAAGAUGGAUGGAUAGCUGCAAUGAAUCGAAUAAACACUAUGAAAGAGAUGAGGACUGAGGAUAUCUUGUUAUACUUUUGUCCUCAUUGCAACAAAGAAAUCGACGACAACAACCAACUGUGCAAUGCCUGUCAACAUUGGCUACAUUGGAGUUGCCAGAGUUUAAAAUCUACUCCCAAAGAAUCUAUUUUGCUUUGUAAAAAUUUCAGAAAUUUAGCUAAGAACCCAUAAUUUGAUUUUGUUUGUUUAUUUUGUUUUUUUUGUUCAAGAAU
rnacentral:lncRNA from 1 species